CCCGGUUUUCUCCCUGGAUGUCGAUUUGAAACCUUGAGAGUCUCCUGGCUGAAGUCCGAAACUACCCUUUACCCUGUACGCCAAGGGCAGCGAGAGACCGAAGAAAAAGGCAGCCAGUCCAGACGGAUAUUGCAGCUGAUCACCAAUUUGAAGGAAAUUCUGUGACUGGAUUUGCAUGUCUACUCUAUCAGCUUCCUGGUUCUCAUCCGAGUUCUCAUCCCAUCUCCUCCCCUCUCUCUCCUCUUCUGUGCAGCGGUGUUUGUGUUGGCCAAGGUGAUUGUUGGGAUCUGGCUGAGGGGGAAGAUGAGUUGGAAAUAUAUAUCAUUGAUUUUUGGUGGGAUGUAUGUAUGUGGUUUUUCAUGACUUUUCUCUAGAUUUGUCUUCUUUCUAUACGUUUCCUUUCAUAUAGCCAGACCUGUGUCAUUUCCUCCAAAUACUUCUUUUGCCCACUGUGCUGACAUUGUGAAAUAAACAUGCAGGGCUAGAUGCUAUAGCACAGCAUGAAAAUGCACUCCAUAACCUGAGUUCUGAAGUAGAGGAGAAGAAAAAUAUUUGAAAAGCUGACACAAAAAAACUCAUCUUUGGAAAAUUCGGACACAUCUUACAGAUGCCAUAAAAUAUUAUCUUGACAAAGUUUUUUUUUCUGAAUUAAAAAGAAAAUUCUAAAAUUUGGAUAAAGAAAUGUGAAGGAAAAAAGUAAUAAGAAAUCUAACUUGUACAAAUGAUAAGUAAUAAGAAAUAUAUUUUAAUAAAUCAUGAGUGAAAGAUCUUUCUUUUCUGUAGACUGUAUUUAAAAAUUGUUGCAUUAUGUGGUAAUCCAAGAAUAUGCAGCAAACAGUAAAAAAAAAAUUAUAGCUUUGUCUCAAGAAGUUAAGUUUUCAUUUUUAUGGAUUCUGAUGUUUGCAGUAUUUGUAACUUUUUCCAAAAAUGUAUUUUUAGAAUAUUUCUCAUUCUAAUAAUCAUGUAUUUUCAUAUUGAAUAUUAUAUUCAUAAUGGGGUACACUUUAAGUUAAAUUUUAAAUUAACAAAGUAUACAAAUUUUAGGUGAAAAUAAUCCUUGCAGGGAGAAGUCCCUGGUUCCUGUUUCUUCUUUGUUACUGUAACUAUGGCUUCUGUUCUAAUUACCUGGGCUGCUACAGAGUCUCAGUCUGCCAUCAUCUUAUAGUGAACCCACAGCCAUUAAAGCCUGCUCUUUCAUGGCCUCACAAGCAGCUCAUAGCAGUUUCUACCAAAGUCACUGCUGAGGAAGAGUAUCUAGAGGCAGGCCAUCUGUAUAUAUUUUUCUUGCUACAGAAGAAAUAACAAGUGACCUAAGUGCCAUGGUCCCUUGAUCAGUGGUAUCUGGGUUGUGUUGGCUCUCUAUAAACCUGAGUGCAAGAGAUUCCUCUUCUUUGUACGUGUUUCCUUUCUCUCACUAUAGAAAAGUAUUGUCAUUAUAAGUACAAAUAAUUUAAUGGAAUUUAAUUCAAGGGAAUGUCAUUCAACCUUGAAAAAGAAGAAAGUCCUGACAUUUGUGACAACAUGGAUGAACUUGGAGGACAUUAUAGUAAGUGAAAUAGGCCAGACACUGAAAGACACAUACUACAUGAUCUCAUUUACAGAUCUUACCUUAAAAAGUCAAACUAAUAGAUGCAGAGAAUAGAAUGGCAGUUGCAAGGGGCUGGAAUGAGAGGAAAAUGUGAGGAUGUUGGUUAAAAGGUACAGUUCUGGGAAAAGAUGAGUAAAUUCUGGAGAUCUAAUGUACAACACGGCCACUAUAGUGAAUAAUACUGAGUUAUGUAUUUGAAAUAUGCUGAAAGAGUACAUCAUAUAUGUUCUCACCCCCCCCCACACACACACACGUGCACGCACACACACACACACAAAUGAUAACUAUGAAAUGGGAUGGAUAUGUUAAUUAGCUUUGUUGUGGUAAUUAUUUUACAAUGUACACUGUAAAUAUAUACAUUUUUGUCAAUUCUAUAUGAGUAACACUGAGAAAAAAAAAUUAUAGAGGAAAUAAAGAAACAUUCAAUUGUGUUAGAGGCUAAAGAGAAAUAUCACUAAAAAGAAAAGUAUAUUGGUGCAGACAAGGAAUCAACCCCAGGAGAUGCAUCCAUUCGCUAACCAACUUGGAUCAAAACAAAUAAAAUUAGUUUCUGUCUAACGCAAAGCCCUCUGCAAGGUCACAUAUUUCUUGAGGACACCUCUCCUGAGUGCAGUGUCUCAGUGAACUUGAUGACCUUAAUACUAUAUUCUCAACACACCUCCCCCCUGAGGAAACAGACUGAAGUAUCAGAGAGCUGUCCUCACUGCCUCAGCUCCAAAACACAUCACACAUCAUAUUAUAUUUGCCAGGACAGUCACGUACAGACUUUCAUAUAGAACCAGAAAAAAGGGAGAUAUGGAUAUUGGUGAGAAAUGGA